ACACCCCUGCUGUGCUCGCGAUCAAUCUGGCCUUGUUAUGAGCCAACACCAACACACAGGGAACCUGACUCGCAGUAGCUAGAACAUGCCCCCCAGCGGGGACGUUCGAACUAGUGCGGAGGGUACCCACCUGCCGAGGCAGGUUCAUUCGGGUCAGCACUAGCGGUACGGCGGGGGGUUG
rnacentral:other from 2 species